UACAUGAAGGUGACUACCAAAUUGUCAUAGGCACACUUCUGGUAAAAAAAAAAUUAAUGUAGUGAAACCCAUAAAAAAGUACGCACUGGAAAAGAACUUUUACAAAAUAAUUCCUAUCUUAAUAAAUCUAAUCAGUAUAACCAAUCAUGUCAUAUACUUGCUGAACAGCUAUAUGAGGAAGAUUUCUACUGAAUGGUACCUAUCUCCAAGUUAAUGAGGUCGGAUCAGAUAAAGUCCAUGUAAAUCAAAGUGCCAAUGUUCAUUUUGUAACGAUUAACACUUCUUCUGCAUUUAUUUCUUGACAUUUUCAACAUCAUAGUUUUUCUACAUAACUCUUUGAUUAUCAAUUUAAAGUUCAAUUUUUUAAUUGAUUCAUUGUUUACUUUUGUAAUUCCUCUCUUUUGUUGCCUUUUAAUUUAAAUGCUUGUUCCUCGGAUUAUGUUUGCUGUGUGGCUGCUUAUUUCUAACUUUUUCCUUUGGUUGGGGAAUAUACAUUGUUAUUAAUAUAUUCUUGAUUUUCUAUUCUAUAUCUUGUUUUGACUCUAGUUCCUACAUUUAUUUUGCUUCGAACCAUUUCAAGAAUUAUGAUGUUUGUGUAAAUUCUUUGACUUACCUUAGCAUAGUGUUCUAAAGUUACUAGCAAUUCUAAAACCUCUGAUGGGAUUAAUCAGCCAACAGAAGUUUGAAAAAUCUUGUGUCUAUAGUUAUUGGCUUUUAUUUUUGAACUUCAGCCAUUUCCACUUUGUUCACGAGCUUGUAAUCAUACUUAUGGACUCAACAAUUUUUUUACUUCGAAAUAUUGCCCUGGUUUUGGAAGGUUAUUACUUUUGUGUUUUUGGUGAGAACUCUCUCUUGUUUUCUGUGAUUGCACAAGUCAAGAGAAUUUUUCCUACAUAUUAUUCUCAAUGUAGAAAAUGAAAUGUUGCAUACACUUUCAUUUUUAGCAGGCAUUAUGGAGAUGGAAUUCUUGGGGCUCACCCAAUUUCUACAAAUGAACUUGUCUGUUUUGAGAAAGCCUAGAACGGAAAAGCUAGACAACAUUCUGAUUGGAGUAAAGGAUUCAAUAUGCAAGGUAUUAUGGGUAAGGAACAUUUUAACUUUUCGGAGAUUGGAUAUGUUGUUCUAAGGGCAGGUCCCUCUAUUAGAUUAUAUAAAUCUUAAUAAAGUUGGUUUUUUCAAAUAUACUUCUAACUUUAUUUAGUGACAAUCAUUACUUUUUUCUUUUUACAUUUACAUAUUGUUUGUGAAGGCAUAUUUGCAUCUUUGUUUGUUUUGACGUUCAAUAAUUGGAACAAAGAAUCCUUUGGUGACUCGCCUGAUAGAAAAGACGAAUUGAGGUCAAUAGUACUUGUUAUAUUAUUGUUGCUAUACUUGUGUGUAAAAUUUUAUUUUUCUUCGAGUAUGACAUAAUCCCCAUAACAACAAUGGUGGCAACUUAAUUAAAUUUUUGAGAUUGAGCAGGUAAAUAAUUUUACUUCAUGAAUUAUAUAGUUCAUACAAAUGAUAAUUUCUUUCACGCCAGUUUCUUGAAAUUAGAAGUAUACUAAAGAUACGAGACUAAUUUAAUUAGAAUGAUCUUCAUUUUUGUAGAUGCAUUGGUCUAGCUUUUUCCCUCCGAUUUAUGCUACUUGUGUAUCAGUCUUCAUCACAUGUGCUAAUUAUUUCCACCUUGUUACAAUUCUAAUUGUAUUAAUAGAAAUAUAUUUUUGUCUAGAAUCCUCUUUUCUGCAAAAUAAAUUUGUUCGGCCUUCAUAAAUUUCAAUACUCAUUUAUCGUAGUACUAUAUGCUGCUGUAUUAAUUCCUUGUCUUCCUCUUCCUUUUCCUCUAAUCUAUUCACAAUUUUCUCACGUGUCAUCUCUAUAUUGGUAUAGGCCAAAACAUAGAAGCAUUCGACGAUGUGUUAUGUGGGUAAUGGACAGAUGGUGGUGGUCUGUUGGACUGUAGUUUGAAGAGCCUUUUGAGUUAUUUGGACUUGUGCUAAAGUUGGAGUAUCUUCUAUCUAUUUUCCAAACAUAAUCUUCAAGUUGAACUCAAUCAUAUGGUCCAUGUCAAACGUUGAAAAAUAUCAAAUGUGUCAACUAUACCAGAAAAACAGAUAAUGUAACCCCACUCAUUUCUUAUUCACGUAUAUUUUUUAUUAAUCUAGGCGCGAUAGAAUGCUGUUGUGAGAUUGUAAAAGCCGUUAACAUGUUGCCAAAAUUUUCUUACAUCAUGGGGAAAUUGAUCUCAAUGUGUUAUCUUUUC